rnacentral:rRNA from 1 species
CGCGUAGGCGGACUGUCGGGUCUGAUGUGAAAGCCCGGGGCUCAACCCCGGAAGUGCAUUGGAAGCUGGCAGUCUUGAGUCCGGGAGAGGAAGGCAGAAUUCCAGGUGUAGGGGUGGAAUCCGUAGAUAUCUGGAGGAAAACCAGUGGCGAAGGCGGCCUUCUGGAACGUGACUGACGCUGAGGCGCGAAAGCGUGGGGAGCAAACA